rnacentral:rRNA from 1 species
GAUGAACGCUGGCGGCGUGCCUAAUACAUGCAAGUCGAGCGAACAGACGAGGAGCUUGCUCCUCUGACGUUAGCGGCGGACGGGUGAGUAACACGUGGAUAACCUACCUAUAAGACUGGGAUAACUUCAGGAAACCGGAGCUAAUACCGGAUAACAUGUUGAACCGCAUGGUUCAAUAGUGAAAGACGGUCUUGCUGUCACUUAUAGAUGGAUCCGCGCCGCAUUAGCUAGUUGGUAAGGUAACGGCUUACCAAGGCAACGAUGCGUAGCCGACCUGAGGGGGUGAUCGGCCACACUGGAACUGAGACACGGUCCAGACUCCUACGGGAGGCAGCAGUAGGGAAUCUUCCGCAAUGGGCGAAAGCCUGACGGAGCAACGCCGCGUGAGUGAAGAAGGUCUUCGGAUCGUAAAACUCUGUUAUUAGGGAAGAACAAAUGUGUAAGUAACUAUGCACGUCUUGACGGUACCUAAUCAGAAAGCCACGGCUAACUACGUG